GGCGUAAGGGCUCGCAGGCGGUUUCUUAAGUCUGAUGUGAAAGCCCCCGGCUCAACCGGGGAGGGUCAUUGGAAACUGGGGAACUUGAGUGCAGAAGAGGAGAGUGGAAUUCCACGUGUAGCGGUGAAAUGCGUAGAGAUGUGGAGGAACACCAGUGGCGAAGGCGACUCUCUGGUCUGUAACUGACGCUGAGGAGCGAAAGCGUGGGGAGCGAACAGGAUUAGAUACCCUGGUAGUCCACGCCGUAAACGAUGAGUGCUAAGUGUUAGGGGGUUUCCGCCCCUUAGUGCUGCAGCUAACGCAUUAAGCACUCCGCCUGGGGAGUACGGUCGCAAGACUGAAACUCAAAGGAAUUGACGGGGGCCCGCACAAGCGGUGGAGCAUGUGGUUUAAUUCGAAGCAACGCGAAGAACCUUACCAGGUCUUGACAUCCUCUGACAAUCCUAGAGAUAGGACGUCCCCUUCGGGGGCAGAGUGACAGGUGGUGCAUGGUUGUCGUCAGCUCGUGUCGUGAGAUGUUGGGUUAAGUCCCGCAACGAGCGCAACCCUUGAUCUUAGUUGCCAGCAUUCAGUUGGGCACUCUAAGGUGACUGCCGGUGACAAACCGGAGGAAGGUGGGGAUGACGUCAAAUCAUCAUGCCCCUUAUGACCUGGGCUACACACGUGCUACAAUGGACAGAACAAAGGGCAGCGAAACCGCGAGGUUAAGCCAAUCCCACAAAUCUGUUCUCAGUUCGGAUCGCAGUCUGCAACUCGACUGCGUGAAGCUGGAAUCGCUAGUAAUC
rnacentral:rRNA from 1 species